AAUCAACGCUGGCGGCGUGCCUAACACAUGCAAGUCGAACGAGAAAGCAGGGGCAACUCUGUGAGUAAAGUGGCGACCGGGUGAGUAACACGUAGCUAACCUACCCUCGAGCGGGGGAUAACCUGGGGAAACCUGGGCUAAUACCGCAUAACAUCCCGAUGUCCAUGACAAUGGGAGCAAAGGCCCGCAAGGGUCACUGGAGGAGGGGGCUGCGGCCGAUUAGCUAGUUGGUGAGGUAAUGGCUCACCAAGGCAAUGAUCGGUAGCCGGC
rnacentral:rRNA from 1 species